UGCUGUAAGUGAUGGCAAUGAAAAUUGGGACUCAUCUGUAUUACCAAAGUUACCUUCAGACCAUGGGUUUCUGGGCUCACAAUCUCAAAUUUUGUAAAUCUCGGAAGGCUCCCAAAGUCAGUUUCAAGGAAGCAAAG
rnacentral:lncRNA from 11 species